AUGGAGGAGGGCCUUCCCCCGGGGUUCCGGUUCCACCCGACGGACGAGGAGCUCAUCACUUACUACCUCAGCCGCAAGGUCUCCGACUUCUCCUUCGUCACCCGUGCCAUCGCCGACGUCGAUCUCAACAAGUGCGAGCCAUGGGACCUUCCAAGCAAAGCUAGCAUGGGGGAGAAAGAGUGGUACUUCUUCAGCAUGCGCGACCGGAAAUACCCGACCGGCAUCCGCACGAAUCGCGCCACCGAAUCCGGCUACUGGAAGACCACCGGCAAGGACAAGGAGAUCUUCCACGCUGGCAGGCUCGUCGGCAUGAAGAAAACCCUAGUGUUCUACGGAGGUAGAGCUCCCAAGGGCGAGAAGACCAGCUGGGUCAUGCACGAGUACAGGAUCCAAAACAAGUUCCCAUACAAACCCAACAAGGAGGAAUGGGUUGUGUGCAGGGUGUUCAAGAAGAGUCAGAUAGUGAAGAUGAGGCACCCACAGGACAGCCCCGACAUGGACUCCCCAUGCAACGACGGUCACGCCUCCCUCGGCGAGCUCGGGGAGAUCGACGUCUCCUCCAUGCUCGGCAGCUUCGCCCCGACCGGCGCGAACGCUUCCGGUGACAACUUCGGCCACCGGAUCGACAUGGGCGCGUACAUGAACUGGCUGGCGGCGGCAAACCAGGGCGCGGCCGCCAUGCUCCCCUGGGCUGCUGCGGCGGCGCCGGGGUUGCUCGGCACCGUUUUCUCUGCGAACCCCGCCAUGCACAAGGCGCUGGCGCCGUUCGCCGGGUGCAGCCAGCUGCCGAGAGACGUCGGCGGUGAUGCCUUGUUCGGGAACGCCAUGGCGAAGGUGGACAUGGAGUGCGAGCAGCCACCGCAGCUGGAAAUGCACGAGUCCACAUGGAGAACCUUCUGA
rnacentral:rRNA from 1 species